rnacentral:rRNA from 1 species
AUUGAACGCUGGCGGCAGGCCUAACACAUGCAAGUCGAGCGGAGCGGCGGACGGGUGCGUAAUGCCUAGGAAUCUGCCUGGUCGUGGGGGAUAACGUUCGGAAACGGGCGCUAAUACCGCAUACUAUCAGAUGAGCCUAGGUCGGAUUAGCUAGUUGGUGGGGUAAAGGCCUACCAAGGCGACGAUCCGUAACUGGACUGAGAGGCUGAUCAGGCACACUUGAACGAAGACACGUUCCAGACUCCUACGGAGGGCAGCAGUGGGAAAUAUUUGACAAUGGACGAAAUCCUGAUCCAGCCAUGCCGCGUGUGUGAAGAAGGUCUUCGGGUUUUAAAGCUCGUUAAGUUGGGAGGCGUUACCAACAGAAUAAGCACCGUCUAACAUCGUGCCAGCAGCCGCGGUAAUUC